rnacentral:rRNA from 1 species
AACGAGUACCACAAAAGGUAUUCAUUCAUAUUGACAAUAGGACGGUGGCCAUGGAAGUCGGAAACCGCUAAGGAAUGUGUAACAACUCACCUAUCGAAUGAAUGAGUCCUGAAAAUGGAUGGCAUUAUAAUUUCUUAACUGAUACUCGACCGUUAAAAUGAAGACAUUUUAACGAGUAAGGAAACGAAAUGGCGUAAGGACAACAAAAGUAGUAAAGAUUUAAAGUAAUUUAGAUUGAAACUGUCCUUAGUGCAGAUCUUGGUGGUAGUAGCAAAUACUAAGAAGAGGAAAAAAACAUCUUAGAACUGAAGAGGAGAAAGGUUCCUAAACAACAUUACUUGGAUUAGGGUGAAUCGAUCCUAAAUUACAGAUGGAAAUCCUUAAGAAAUAUAUAAGUGACAUAUAGUCAAUAUAAGGAUUGAAAGGGAAUAAGAUUAAUAGUUCUUAAUCAAGAGAAUUAAUGAUUAAAUCUUAGAAAUAAGAUUAAAUCGAAUAAAAUGGUAACAUAUCAUGAACUUUAAAAUGGAGUGUGAAAAUCUACGGAAGAGUUCUCUUUUCUUCUUAACAAAAGUAAAUUCCACUGAAAUGAAUCAAUCAGAGAAGUGGAAUUUAUUGGCUUUGUAAGAAAUUCAACAUAUGAUUGAAUUGUGGUAUUUUUGCAGUCUUCAUAAAAAUUAAAGGGAAUCUUAGCAUAAAGCUAAUUAAAGAAUUCUUUUGCUCGUACUAAUAACCGCAACAGGUCUCCAAGAAGCAAAAUCUUUAGUUAAAUAGAAUAACGCAGGUAAGGGAAGUCGGCAACAUAGCUCUGUAAGUUAGCAAGAAAGAGUAGCUCUGGUGAUUUCCUUGUAAAAGGAUUAAAAUCGAAUCAGAACUUUAAAGGUUAGGGGAAUCCGACUGUUUAAUAAAAACAUAGCAUUCUGAUAAAUCUAAAAGGUUCAUUACAGAAUGUGAUUUCUGCCCAGUGCUCUGAAUGUCAAGGUAAUGAAAUUUACUUAAGCGCGGGUUAACGGCGGGAGUAACUAUGACUCUCUUAAGGUAGCCAAAUGCCUCGUCAUCUAAUUAGUGACGCGCAUGAAUGGAUCACCGUGAUUCCCACUGUCCCUAUCUGCAAUCUAGUGAAACCACAGUCAAGGGAACGGGCUUGAUUGGAACGGCGGGGAAAGAAGACCCUGUUGAGCUUGACUCUAAUUUAUCAUGUGAAAUCGAUUUUUUGGUAUAGGCUAGGUGGGAGACUUUGUCAAACGUGUAAUACCACCACUAGAAAUACUAUUUCACUCAUUUCGUUAAAUGUUAAAAUGGAUUUUCCAUUAAUUUAAAAACAUUAAAACUUCGGUUGAAACAGGCGAUUGAAAAAGAUAGACGGGGAGUUUGGCUGGGGCGGCACAUCUGUUACAAGAUAACGCAGGUGUCCAAAGAUGAACUCAAUGAGGACAGAAACCUCAUGUAGAAUAUAAGGGUAUAAGUUCAUUUGAUUAUUGAUUCCAGUACAAUCAAUAACUCUGAAAUGAUGGCCUAACGAUCCCUAAGAUUUUUAACUAGAAAAAAUUUAAAACAUAUUAGAUUUAUCUGAUGUGUGAGACCGUAAGGUGAUUUCUAGUUAAUCCUUUAAUAAUAAGGCUGG